CAAUAGCGUAUAUUAAAGUUGUUGCGGUAAAAAAGCUCGUAGUUGGAUUUCUGUUGAGAGCGACCGGUCCAUACCAUGUAUGCGUAUCUGGCUUGCUCUCGGCAUCCUCUCGAUAGACGUUACUGCGCUUGAUUGCGUGGUGCGGAUCUCGGGACUUUUACUUUGAGGAAAUUAGAGUGUUCACGGCAGGCUUUCGCCAGGAUACAUUAGCAUGGAAUAAUACUAUAGGAUCUUGGUUCUAUUUUGUUGGUUUCUAGAAUUGAGAUAAUGAUUAAUAGGGACAAUUGGGGGCAUUCGUAUCAACACGUCAGAGGUGGAAUUCUUGGAUUGUGUUGCGACGAACUACUGCGAAAGCAUUUGCCAAGGAUGUUUUCAUUGA
rnacentral:rRNA from 1 species